UACGUAGGGGGCAAGCGUUGUCCGGAAUCAUUGGGCGUAAAGCGCGCGUAGGCGGUCAGGUAAGUCCGGUGUGAAAGUCAAAGGCUCAACCUUUGAAUGCCGCUGGAUACUGCUUGACUUGAGUCCGGAAGGGGCGAGUGGAAUUCCUGGUGUAGCGGUGAAAUGCGCAGAUAUCAGGAGGAACACCAAUGGCGAAGGCAGCUCGCUGGAACGGUACUGACGCUGAGGCGCGAAAGCGUGGGGAGCGAACAGG
rnacentral:rRNA from 1 species